rnacentral:rRNA from 1 species
UACGUAGGGAGCAAGCGUUGUCCGGAAUCAUUGGGCGUAAAGCGCGCGUAGGUGGCCACAUAAGUCCGUUGUGAAAGUCAAAGGCUCAACCUUUGAAAGCCGAUGGAUACUGUGUGGCUAGAGUACGGAAGAGGCGAGUGGAAUUCCUGGUGUAGCGGUGAAAUGCGCAGAUAUCAGGAGGAACACCGGUGGCGAAGGCGGUUCUCUGGGCAUGUCCUGACGCUGAGGAGCGAAAGUGUGGGGAGCGAACAGG